rnacentral:snRNA from 1 species
GGAUGUGAGAGUGAUCUGGCUGCAACAUCUGUAACCCCAUUGAUGACCAGCGUUGAUUAGCCUGGUGGCUAGGUAGGUAUUCUCUUCCUCCCUCACCAUUCCAUGUGCAUCCCUCUCUAAGUCGUAUGCUUAGGUGAAGAGAAUGACCUUCUCAGAUAGAAGUGUACCAUUCUUCAGUCAAGGGUAGACCAGUUCCCCUUCUAGAACAAGCUCCCGAGAUCCAAAUUAACUUCAUUGCUUCUUAAAGACGAUUACUUAAAAUUAAAUUUAAAGAAAAGGAUGCUAGGAAUAGAGUUUAUUU